CAGUAGCCGCGGUAAUACGGAGGGUGCAAGCGUUAAUCGGAAUUACUGAGCGUAAAGCGUGCGUAGGCGGUUCGUUAAGUCUGUUGUGAAAGCCCCGGGCUCAACCUGGGAAUGGCAAUGGAUACUGGCGAGCUAGAGUGUGUCAGAGGAUGGUGGAAUUCCCGGUGUAGCGGUGAAAUGCGUAGAGAUCGGGAGGAACAUCAGUGGCGAAGGCGGCCAUCUGGGACAACACUGACGCUGAGGCACGAAAGCGUGGGGAGCAAACAGGAUUAGAUACCCCCGUAGUCCCUGUCUCUUAUAC
rnacentral:rRNA from 1 species